ensembl:snoRNA SNORA11G small nucleolar RNA, H/ACA box 11G
GGGGUAUGCUCAGAUCAAGCAGCUUUAAGACGGGCUCCUUUGUUUACAACACAUCCAAGAGGAAUCUUUGUUUACUCCCCACAGGUGGCAGGAUAUACUAGUCUUCCUGUGACAUCAUGUCCUAUAUAU